rnacentral:rRNA from 3 species
GAAUGCGAUCAUACCAGCACUAAAGCACCAGAUCCCAUCAUAACUCCAAAGUUAAGUGUGCUUAGACGAGAGUAGUAGUAGCUAUCCAUAUGCCAAAAUCAUGAGUUGAUUGCA